GUGGGGAAUUUUGGACAAUGGGCGAAAGCCUGAUCCAGCCAUGCCGCGUGAGUGAAGAAGGCCUUCGGGUUGUAAAGCUCUUUCGGCCGGGAAGAAAUCGCACGCUCUAACAUAGCGUGUGGAUGACGGUACCGGACUAAGAAGCACCGGCUAACUACGUGCCAGCAGCCGCGGUAAUACGUAGGGUGCAAGCGUUAAUCGGAAUUACUGGGCGUAAAGCGUGCGCAGGCGGUUUUGUAAGACAGACGUGAAAUCCCCGGGCUGAACCGGGGAAUGGCGUUUGUGACUGCAAAGCUGGAGUGCGGCAGAGGGGGAUGAAAUUCCGCGUGUAGCAGUGAAAUGCGUAGAUAUGCGGAGGAACACCAGUGGCGAAGGCGGGUUCCUGGCCCAUGACUGACGCUGAGGUGCGAAAGCCAGGGGAGCGAACGGGAUUAGAAACCCGAGUAGUCC
rnacentral:rRNA from 1 species